GAUGAACGCUAGCGGCAGGCCUAAUACAUGCAAGUCGAACGGUGUCUUCGGACAUAGUGGCGCACGGGUGCGUAACACGUAUGCAACCUACCUUACAUUGGGGGAUAGCCUUUCGAAAGGGAGAUUAAUACCGCAUAAGACAGUAGCUGGGCAUCCAGCAGCUGUUAAAGAUUUAUCGAUGUAAGCUGGGCAUGCGUCCAAUUAGCUAGUUGGUGAGGUAACGGAUCACAAAGGCAAGGAUUGGUAGGGGAACUGAGAGGUCAAUCCCCCACACUGGCACUGAGAUACGGGCCAGACUCCUACGGGAGGCAGCAGUAGGGAAUAUUGGGCAAUGGACGCAAGUCUGACCCAGCCAUGCCGCGUGCAGGAUGAAGGCGUUAUGCGUUGUAAACUGCUUUUAUACAGGAAGAAACGACUCUUGCGAGAGGCAUUGACGGUACUGUAUGAAUAAGCACCGGCUAACUCCGUGCCAGCCGCCGCGGUAACAC
rnacentral:rRNA from 1 species